UACGUAGGUGGCGAGCGUUGUCCGGAAUUACUGGGCGUAAAGAGCGCGUAGGCGGGAAUUUAAGUCAGGAGUGAAAACUGUGGGCUCAACCUGCAGCUUGCUUCUGAAACUGGAUUUCUUGAGGGUAUGAGAGGAAAGCGGAAUUCCUAGUGUAGCGGUGAAAUGCGUAGAUAUUAGGAGGAACACCAGUGGCGAAGGCGGCUUUCUGGCAUACAACUGACGCUGAGGCGCGAAAGCGUGGGGAGCAAACGGG
rnacentral:rRNA from 1 species